rnacentral:rRNA from 1 species
UACGUAGGGUGCGAGCGUUAAUCGGAAUUACUGGGCGUAAAGUGUGCGCAGGCGGCCGCGCAAGUCGAGUGUGAAAUCCCCGAGCUUAACUUGGGAAUUGCGCUCGAAACUACGUGGCUGGAGUGUGGCAGAGGAAGGUGGAAUUCCACGUGUAGCGGUGAAAUGCGUAGAGAUGUGGAGGACCACCGAUGGCGAAGGCAGCCUUCUGGGACAACACUGACGCUCAUGCACGAAAGCGUGGGGAGCAAACAGG